AGCAGCCGCGGUAAUUCCAGCUCCAAUAGCGUAUAUUAAAGUUGUUGCAGUUAAAAAGCUCGUAGUUGAAUUUCGGGAUCAAUACGUCGGUCGUGCUUCGGUACGUACUGGCGUCAUUGAUUUCUCCCUUCUGACGAACCAUGAUGUCAUUAACUUGGUGUCAUGGGAAAUCAGGACUGUUACUUUGAAAAAAUUAGAGUGUUUAAAGCAAGCUAACGCUUGAAUACAUUAGCAUGGAAUAAUGAAAUAGGACGUUCGAUCCUAUUUUGUUGGUUUGCUUAGGAUUGACGUAAUGAUUAAUAGGGAUAGUUGGGGGCAUUAGUAUUCAAUUGUCAGAGGUGAAAUUCUUGGAUUUAUUGAAGACUAACUACUGCGAAAGCAUUUGCCAAGGAUGUUUUCAUUAAUCAAGAACGAAAGUUAGGGGAUCGAAGACGAUCAGAUACCGUCGUAGUCUUAACCAUAAACUAUGCCGACUAGGGAUCGGAUGAUGUUAAUUUUUUAAUGACUCAUUCGGCGCCUU
rnacentral:rRNA from 1 species